GAUGAACGCUAGCGGCAGGCCUAAUACAUGCAAGUCGAACGGUGUAGCAAUACACAGUGGCGCACGGGUGCGUAACACGUAUGCAACCUACCUUACAUUGGGGGAUAGCCUUUCGAAAGGGAGAUUAAUACCGCAUAAGACAGUAACUAGGCAUCUAGUAGCUGUUAAAGAUUUAUCGAUGUAAGCUGGGCAUGCGUCCAAUUAGUUAGUUGGCGAGGUAAUGGCUCACCAAGACGAUGAUUGGUAGGGGAACUGAGAGGUCAAUCCCCCCCACUGGCACUGGGAUACGGGCCAGACUCCUACGGGAGGCAGCAGUAGGGAAUAUUGGGCAAUGGGCGCAAGACUGACCCAGCCAUGCCGCGUGCAGGAAGAAGGCGUUAUGCGUUGUAAACUGCUUUUAUACAGGAAGAAACGACCCUUGCGAGGGGCAUUGACGGUACUGUAUGAAUAAGCACCGGCUAACUCCGUGCCAGCAGCCGCCGUAACAC
rnacentral:rRNA from 1 species